rnacentral:rRNA from 1 species
UGCCCAGACUCCUACGGGAGGCAGCAGUGAGGAAUAUUGGUCAAUGGCCGAAGGGCUGAACCAGCCAAGCCGCGUGAAGGAAUAAGGCCCUACGGGUCAUAAACUUCUUUAGUCAGGGAACAAAGGGUGCCACGCGUGGCGCUGUGAGUGUACCUGAAGAAUAAGCAUCGGCUAACUCCGUGCCAGCAGCCGCGGUAAUACGGAGGAUGCGAGCGUUACCCGGAUUUAUUGGGUUUAAAGGGUGCGCAGGCGGAGGUGCAAGUCAGCGGUCAAAUUGCGGGGCUCAACCCCGUACUGCCGUUGAAACUGCAUCCCUUGAGUGCGCGAGAAGUAUGCGGAAUGCGUGGUGUAGCGGUGAAAUGCAUAGAUAUCACGCAGAACCCCGAUUGCGAAGGCAGCCUUCCGGCGCCCUACUGACGCUGAGGCACGAAAGUGCGGGGAUCGAACAGGAUUAGAUACCCCCGUA